GCCUGGAUAGCUCAGUUGGCAGAGCAAGGGUUUUGUAAACCUUAGGUCGGGAGUUCAAAUCUCCCUCCAGGCU
rfam:Candidate division WWE3 bacterium GW2011_GWC2_44_9 TW82_C0040, whole genome shotgun sequence.